rnacentral:rRNA from 1 species
CUACUCCUACGGGAGGCAGCAGUAGGGAAUCUUCCGCAAUGGACGAAAGUCUGACGGAGCAACGCCGCGUGAGUGAUGAAGGCUUUCGGGUCGUAAAACUCUGUUGUUAGGGAAGAACAAGUGCUAGUUGAAUAAGCUGGCACCUUGACGGUACCUAACCAGAAAGCCACGGCUAACUACGUGCCAGCAGCCGCGGUAAUACGUAGGUGGCAAGCGUUAUCCGGAAUUAUUGGGCGUAAAGCGCGCGCAGGUGGUUUCUUAAGUCUGAUGUGAAAGCCCACGGCUCAACCGUGGAGGGUCAUUGGAAACUGGGAGACUUGAGUGCAGAAGAGGAAAGUGGAAUUCCAUGUGUAGCGGUGAAAUGCGUAGAGAUAUGGAGGAACACCAGUGGCGAAGGCGACUUUCUGGUCUGUAACUGACACUGAGCGCUAGCUGCCCUC